CCCUCACCAUUUCUCCCGAUUAUGCCGACGGUCUCAACUUUGACGCACCCUCGCACCAGAUCGUCGGCAUCAUGUCGCGAGUCGAGUCUCUGAUCUUCUCCACUACUUAUCGGAGGUCUCAUCUAUAGUGUUCUCCUUCGAAAUGCCGCUUCGCGCAAGGGAUCUUCGGUUAGGUGAGGAGAUCUGAGCUCCGGUGACGCUGGAGUUGAAUCGCCUGUUCCAGUGCUCGAUCUUGGUUGAAGACUUGUGCUCCAAGCGGCUGCCUCACCUUCCCGAGCCCUAGAGCCGAGCUAUGUUCAUCGGAUUUCCCUGCGCCGCUAGUGGUGAUUUCUAUCAUCGAGUGGCUCACCGUAAAGGACUAGACCACAAAUUCCAGCAGCAAAUUUCGCCAGUGGGCAGUCUGAGCAACUAUUCUCCAGUCGUGAACCACUAGCUUUGUAGAAGCUCCGAUUGUGGAUCUGUGGCAGCAUGCAUCACCACUGUGCUUGUGCCGGCAAUAACACCUCCUGGCAGUGGGUUAACUGAGGACUUUGAUCAAGGCUGGUGUCUGAUGAAGGUGACAUCGGAUUCAGACUACUUUACAGGCAA